rnacentral:rRNA from 1 species
GACGAACGCUGGCGGCAUGCCUAACACAUGCAAGUCGAACGGAAAGGCCGUGCUUUGGUGGGGUGGUCUGGGUGCGAACGGGUGAGUAACACGUGAGUAACCUGUCCUUGACUGUGAGAUAACUUCAGAAAACUGAGUCUAAUACCGGAUAGGAUCUCCUGCUGCAUGGUGGGGGUGGGUUGGUUUCGGCAGUUGGGGCUGGACUCGCGUCUUAUCAGCUUGUUGGUGGGGUAGUGGCUUACCAAGGCCUUGACGGGUAGCAGGCCUGAGAGGGUGACCGGCCACACUGGGACUGGGCUGCGGCCCAGACUACUACGGGAGGCAGCAGUGGGGAAUAUUGCACAAUGGGAGGAAGCAUGAUGCAGUACCGCAGCGUGCGGGAUGACGGCCUUCGGGUUGUAAACCGCUUUCGCCUGUGACGAAGCGUGAGUGACGGUAAUGGGUAAAGAAGCACCGGCUAACUACGUG